AAAUUGAAGAGUUUGAUCAUGGCUCAGAUUGAACGCUGGCGGCAGGCCUAACACAUGCAAGUCGAGCGGUAGCACAGAGAGCUUGCUCUCGGGUGACGAGCGGCGGACGGGUGAGUAAUGUCUGGGAAACUGCCUGAUGGAGGGGGAUAACUACUGGAAACGGUAGCUAAUACCGCAUAACGUCGCAAGACCAAAGUGGGGGACCUUCGGGCCUCAUGCCAUCAGAUGUGCCCAGAUGGGAUUAGCUAGUAGGUGGGGUAACGGCUCACCUAGGCGACGAUCCCUAGCUGGUCUGAGAGGAUGACCAGCCACACUGGAACUGAGACACGGUCCAGACUCCUACGGGAGGCAGCAGUGGGGAAUAUUGCACAAUGGGCGCAAGCCUGAUGCAGCCAUGCCGCGUGUGUGAAGAAGGCCUUCGGGUUGUAAAGCACUUUCAGCGGGGAGGAAGGCGGUAAGGUUAAUAACCUCAUCGAUUGACGUUACCCGCAGAAGAAGCACCGGCUAACUCCGUGCCAGCAGCCGCGGUAAUACGGAGGGUGCAAGCGUUAAUCGGAAUUACUGGGCGUAAAGCGCACGCAGGCGGUCUGUCAAGUCGGAUGUGAAAUCCCCGGGCUCAACCUGGGAACUGCAUUCGAAACUGGCAGGCUAGAGUCUUGUAGAGGGGGGUAGAAUUCCAGGUGUAGCGGUGAAAUGCGUAGAGAUCUGGAGGAAUACCGGUGGCGAAGGCGGCCCCCUGGACAAAGACUGACGCUCAGGUGCGAAAGCGUGGGGAGCAAACAGGAUUAGAUACCCUGGUAGUCCACGCCGUAAACGAUGUCGAUUUGGAGGUUGUGCCCUUGAGGCGUGGCUUCCGGAGCUAACGCGUUAAAUCGACCGCCUGGGGAGUACGGCCGCAAGGUUAAAACUCAAAUGAAUUGACGGGGGCCCGCACAAGCGGUGGAGCAUGUGGUUUAAUUCGAUGCAACGCGAAGAACCUUACCUGGUCUUGACAUCCACAGAACUUUCCAGAGAUGGAUUGGUGCCUUCGGGAACUGUGAGACAGGUGCUGCAUGGCUGUCGUCAGCUCGUGUUGUGAAAUGUUGGGUUAAGUCCCGCAACGAGCGCAACCCUUAUCCUUUGUUGCCAGCGGUUCGGCCGGGAACUCAAAGGAGACUGCCAGUGAUAAACUGGAGGAAGGUGGGGAUGACGUCAAGUCAUCAUGGCCCUUACGACCAGGGCUACACACGUGCUACAAUGGCAUAUACAAAGAGAAGCGACCUCGCGAGAGCAAGCGGACCUCAUAAAGUAUGUCGUAGUCCGGAUUGGAGUCUGCAACUCGACUCCAUGAAGUCGGAAUCGCUAGUAAUCGUAGAUCAGAAUGCUACGGUGAAUACGUUCCCGGGCCUUGUACACACCGCCCGUCACACCAUGGGAGUGGGUUGCAAAAGAAGUAGGUAGCUUAACCUUCGGGAGGGCGCUUACCACUUUGUGAUUCAUGACUGGGGUGAAGUCGUAACAAGGUAACCGUAGGGGAACCUGCGGUUGGAUCACCUCCUUA
rnacentral:rRNA from 1 species